GCGUCAGCACAGUCUGGAA
rnacentral:snRNA from 1 species